rnacentral:rRNA from 1 species
UCCUACGGGAGGCAGCAGUGGAGAAUCUUGCGCAAUGGGCGAAAGCCUGACGCAGCCAGCCGCGUGCGGGAAGAAGGCCUUCGGGUCGUAAACCGCUUUCAGGAGGGAAGAAGCGAGAGUGACGGUACCUCCAGAAGAAGCCCCGGCCAACUACGUGCCAGCAGCCGCGGUAAUACGUAGGGGGCGAGCGUUAUCCGGAAUUAUUGGGCGUAAAGCGCACGUAGGCGGCCAUGUAAGUCGGAUGUGAAAUCCCGGGGCUUAACCCCGGAACUGCAUCCGGUACUGCAUGGCUUGAGGAAGGUAGAGGAGAGUGGAAUUCCCGGUGUAGCGGUGGAAUGCGCAGAUAUCGGGAGGAACACCAGCGGCGAAGGCGGCUCUCUGGGCCUUUCCUGACGCUCAGGUGCGAAAGCGUGGGUAGCCAACAGGAUUAGAUACCCUGGUAGUCCACGCCGUAAACGAUGGGUGCUAGGUGUGGGGAUCAGUUCACGAUCUCCGNGNCGAAGCUAACGCGUUAAGCAC